rnacentral:rRNA from 1 species
GGUUGACCUCGAAUCAGGUAGGACUACCCGCUGAACUUAAGCAUAUCAAUAAAGCGGAGGA